CCGGAGUGUAUGUUCUGACCUGGAAUUGAGGAGUUUGGAGUUUAGGAAGACAGGUAUAAACCGAAACAGCGAAACCAGCUUUUUACUUGUUAUACUUGGGCGUUGAAAGUUGAUACGCGAUCGAACUUGAUCGCAAUGCGUGAGAAAAACCUUACAAUUAGCUCAAAAUGCUGCUUGUUCGGUCCCAUGUAGCCGUGAGAGUAUAUCUAAACUAAACUGCGACCAAAUGUGUGUGUGUGUCGCGGCCUACACAGGGGUACUAAACAUCGUUUUUAUCAGAUUGUGAUUGCGUGGAUUGAAUAUAUAUAGGAAGCCGUAUCGACUUCUCUGCUCUGCUAAGACUUGUUCGAAAGAAAGGCGCCCAAAUACAUACGUUAUAUAAACGGUCGUCUAUUAUUCACCUACCAUCGACCGUUAUC